rnacentral:misc_RNA from 1 species
UUUUUAUUUAGAAAUUUUAUGUAUCCAAAAACUUUUUCAGUUAAAUGUGUUCUCAUCAGACUUUCGUUUCCCAUCUCAUCAACUUACUUUGUUAAGAUAUUGGGAUCUCUGAUGAUAUUUUAAGUUUUUAACUGUUAACUUUUCUAUUUAAUGUUGGUCUAUACCUUCCAAUUGGUCACUCUCACCUGCUAAAGUUGUCUUCAAAUCAUG